rnacentral:rRNA from 1 species
AUUGAACGCUGGCGGCAGGCUUAACACAUGCAAGUCGAGCGGAGCGAGGGUGCUUGCACCUUAGCUUAGCGGCGGACGGGUGAGUAAUGCUUAGGAAUCUGCCUAUUAGUGGGGGACAACAUUCCGAAAGGAAUGCUAAUACCGCAUACGCCCUACGGGGGAAAGCAGGGGAUCUUCGGACCUUGCGCCAAUAGAUGAGCCUAAGUCGGAUUAGCUAGUUGGUGGGGUAAAGGCCUACCAAGGCGACGAUCUGUAGCGGGUCUGAGAGGAUGAUCCGCCACACUGGGACUGAGACACGGCCCAGACUCCGACGGGAGGCAGCAGUGGGGAAUAUUGGACAAGGGGCGGAAGCCUGAUCCAGCCAUGCCGCGUGUGUGAAGAAGGCCUUCUGGUUGUAAAGCACUUUAAGCGAGGAGGAGGCUACUUAGAUUAAUACUCUGGGAUAGUGGACGUUACUCGCAGAUUAAGCACCGGCUAACUCUGUGCCAGCCGCCGCGGUAA